AGGACGAACGCUGGCGGCGUGCUUAACACAUGCAAGUCGAGCGGAAAGGCCCUUCGGGGUACUCGAGCGGCGAACGGGUGAGUAACACGUGAGCAACCUGCCCUUAGCUCCGGGAUAGCUCCGGGAAACCGGAAUUAAUACCGGAUACGGCCACGGCCGACAUCUGCUGUGGUGGAAAGGAUUCCGGCUAAGGAUGGGCUCGCGGCCUAUCAGCUAGUGGUGGAGUAACGGCCCACAAGGCGACGACGGGUA
rnacentral:rRNA from 1 species